CUCUUUUUUCGUGCUGCUAGCCUCCACCACCAGCCGCCAGCCAUCUCGCUCCUCCAGCAUGUAGGGCCUAGCAGGCCCAUCCACGGCCCGUCCGGGCCUGGUCUCGUCCGUCGCUGCAGCUCCAUGCGGGAGGUCCUCCCAUGGCGCCCGAAGCCCUCGAGCCCCUGUGUCGCCCCAUCCCCGACGACCGCACCGUUUGGAGCCGUCGAAGCACCACGUUAUCAUUGUCCAGUAGGCCGACCUUGUGCCCCUCUUCUCCUUCCUCCGCAUGCCUCUCUCUCCUCCCCCUAACCUCUCCCUCGUUCGUUCUCCGCAGGAGCUUGCCAUGGGUCUGCCGCCGUCACGUCGGAGUGCGCCAGAUCCACGGGGAACAGGAUCCCCUCGACUGGAUCCACAUAGCCGCCGGAGGCCUCGCCUCCCUGUCGCCCCUUGCCGACGCAAGCCACUAGGCCACCGCCCUGCUCGCCCGAUCGAGUCAGGGAACAACGGACGCUAGCAGGCGCUCGCUCGCCCCGCUGGGCCACCAGCCCGCGAGACGACCUACAUCAUCGCUGACUCCUCCAGGCCUAGACCCGCAACCGGCCCAGCUCCCAAGCCCCGCUGACCCAAGUAGCCACGUAGGUGAGGCCCCCCUGUUUCUAUCCCUCGCCCAGUGCGAUAUACAUACAUACAUAC
rnacentral:lncRNA from 1 species